GCCAUAACCUGGAGAGAAGGGGCCAGUUUCGACUAGCCAGAGUUUAGGGAUGGGCUGAAGUUGAGGAGCUAGAGGCGAUGCCAGGACUGCGAAAACUGAUUUCUCUCUCUCUCUUUUUUUCUUCCAGUACUGGGGAUUGAACACAGGUCUUGGGGCAGGACUGCGAAAAUUGGAAGACUCAGGCAGUGGGCUUGAAUUGAUGGCAGGACCUGGAAGUUAAAGCAACUGGACCCCUGGAUAAGGGUCCAGAAGGGAAGCAGUCGGUAAAAUAUUGUACUUAAAGGUUUUGCUGGAUGCGGGACCACUGAGGUGGGCGGAGCUUGGAUUGAACCGGGCUGGGAUUUGAAGCCCACGAAAACAGAUUCUAGAGCUAAUUUCUCUGUGACACCGAUGAACAUUUUCUGAUUCAGUUUCCUCUUCUUGAUGUAUAAUAGUGUAACGAAUAUGGCCGGUGCUGUGUAAUAGUGUGCUGCUAUCAUUUUUUUUUUCUGAUCCAGAACCCAAACCCCACUUUGGAGGUGCGGGAGAAAGUAGUCCCAGGAAUGGAAUUUCUUUUAGUGAUGCGGCUUGGGUGCAGGUCAAGGGGUAGGAAAGAGAUUUACUUGGUUUAAAAUCUCACAGCCAGGGAUUAACAGUGUGUUGGGAGGGCGGGUCAGGUGCUGAGGGUGAAGCCUUCCUGAUAAGAGAUGGCGGCCCUUGCAGGUCUGCUGGAGUGUCUCCUCUGGCCGGCUCGCAAGGAUGAAGAGGCAGAGUAGGAAGAGGAAGCUGGCGCCCAAGGGCCUCAGUCUCUCCUGGCUGCGCCGCGAUGCUCCUAGAGGCCACACGAGGGUGUGGCAGCAUCGUCCGGCCUGCGCUUCGGAGCCAGCGCAGCGCAGGGUUGGCGAACGCAUAUGGAGGACGCGCACUGCGCUUGGCUCUCCUUACCUGGGCUGCCGCCUGGCUGGGCUUUCUUCGCUAUCCUCGACGGCCACGGAGGGGCGCGAGUUGCCCGCUUCGGCGCGCGCCACCUGCCAGGCCACGUGCUCGAGGAGCUAGGCCCAGCGCCUAGCGAACCCGAGGGCGUGAGCCAGGCGCUGCGCCGAGCCUUCUUGAAUGCCGACGAGCGACUCCGCUCGCUCUGGCCCCGUGGCGAACCCGGCGGCUCCACUGCGGUCGUGUUGCUGGUCUCCCCCGCGCUUUCUAUACCUGGCGCACUGCGGUGACUCGCGCGCGGUGCUGAGCCGCGCCGGCGCCGUGGCCUUCAGAACCCAAGACCACCGGCCCCUCCGGCCGCGGGAACGCGAGCGCAUCUACAACGGGGGCGGCACCAUCCGUCGCCGUCGCGUCGAGGGCUCUCUGGCAGUGUCUCGAGCACUAGGCGAUUUUGCUAACAAAGCGGCUCCGGGGAGGCCCCCCGAACUGCAGCUAAUUUCCGCGGAGCCUGAAGUGGCUGCCCUGGCACGCCAGACUGAGGACGAAUUCGUGCUCCUGGCCUCUGACAGCGUGUGGGACGUUACGUCUGGUGCUGCCCUGGUGGGACUGGUGGCAUCGCGCCUCCGUUUGGACCUGGCCCCAGAGCUUCUCUGCGCGCAGCUGUUGGACACGUGUCUGUGCCAGGUCCUGGGGGCGGGGCAUAGUAUUACUGAGGCUUGGAACAUGGGGGAGAUCUGCAGCAUUUGUGGGAGAAGGGAUUUUAAUAGACCAGGGGUUGGGGAACAACUAGAGGGCGUGUAUGCUGGAAUGCGCAGGGCCAAAAUACGGAGAGGGGAGAGCCUGUGGUAUGGUUUAAGAUACAAAGGGAGCCCGGGAUGGUGGCACAAACCUGUAAUCCCAGAUGCUUAGGAAAUUGAGGCAGAAGGAUCACAAGUUCCAAGCCAGUCUCGGCAAUUUAUCCAGCCCUAAGCAACUAAGCCCUGUCUCUAAAUAAAAAAUAAAAAGGGUUGGGGAUGUGGCUCAGUGGUUAGGCGCCUCUAAUCCCCAGUACUAAUACAACAAACAAACAACAAAAAACAAAGGGAGAGAAGUGCUAGACAGGUAAGUGGGAGGGAGUUAAGAAUCACGUGGGGCUGGGGAUGUGGCUCAACUGGUUGCAUGCUCACCUAGCAUGCCUGAGGCACAGGGUUCGAUUCUAAGCACCACAUAAAAAUAAAAUAAAGAUAUUGUGUCCACCUAAAACUAAAAAAAAUGAAUAUUAAGAAAAAAAGAUUGAAGAACUUCAUAUAAAAGGUGUGGUUCUCUUUUAGUAGGGUGGGGCUAGGACAGGGAGAGAUUGGUGUAAGUGGGAGAAGGCUUGGUUUUGACUGGCAGAUGGGUGAGGAGAGGCACAGGCAUAUCUAGACUGGGGAGGACUUCUAAAGACUUGAAACUCUGCACAGUAGCCUUCAACCCCAUGCUACCGGUGUCCUUUUCUCCACUUUAUCCAGGGCAGCCUGGACAACAUGACCUGCAUCGUGGUUUGCUUCCCAGGGGCUCCCAGGGCUUGUGAGGAGGCCAUCAGGAGGGAGCAUGCGCUGGAUACAGCCCUGGGCUGCAGAGUAGCUGGUGAGCAGGCUGGGUCGCGGGGUACCC
rnacentral:lncRNA from 1 species